rnacentral:lncRNA from 1 species
GUUUCUGCCUGCAGCUAGACCAGGAAGAAAGGAGACUGAGCAGAGGAAAUGAAAGAGUAAAGGAGAGGAGAGAGUGGGUAGGACACAAAGCUGAGGUGACUGAAGCAGCAGGAAGUAGGCAGGGCAUGAAGAAUUGGGAUUCAAAGCCCUUGAAUUUAGUUCCCAACUUCACUUAUGGGGCAAUGCUCCAAGUCACUCAGUCACCCUGAACUUCAGCUGGAGAAGGGGAACAGGAAUAAUGCCUAUCUUCCAGGAGUGUUCUGCACAAAACUGAAGGCACAGAUGAAAAAGCACUCUGCAAAUUAAAAGGUGCUUCCAAGACCAAGAUAACCAGGCAAUCAUAGUAGAUGCAUCAAUGCACCCUUGCCCAAGGGCCUAGACAAGAGGUAUUGUUUAGCUUCGCAUGAAUUUUAUCACCUUGCCUAGAACCAGCCACCAUCUGCCAGGGCUCCUGACUUUUUCUGAAAUGAAUAGACACUAAAGCCUGCUGGGGAAUUUCAUGGAAAUCAAGAUGACUCAACCCAGAGUCCAUUUCAAGGCUAGGAUGCUAGAGGACGCCAACAAAGGAGUAGGGAAGUGAAACGGAUCAGCUCACAUCCAAGCCCUUGCAUGAUCAAUCCUGCAGUAGGAGUGCUGCUCAGUUGGGACUCAUGAGAGCCCGGAAGAGGAAAAAGCAGCUCUAAGCAUAGCAAAGAAGCUGUUAUGGAAAAGACCCAAAUGUUAAAAUGGUGGACAUAGUAAAGUGAUUGGUUCUGCUUAGGGGAAUCUAGAUCCCCACAUUUUGACCUCCACUGGAGUCUCAGAAGAACAAGUGCCAGGGGGGCUUGCCACAGAGGCCAAGGCAGUGAAUGUCAGGCACAUCACAGUCCCCAAGAUGGGGAGAAGACUGAGAUGCAGGGUAACAACUGCAAUCCAUUCAUGGGAGCCAUGUUUAUCUUAAAUCAUUGACAGUGAGAUAAGGAUCAUGUCAGCCUUCAUACCUUUGAUGAUGAUCCCAGGCUGCAACAGUGACACAUAGAACUGGAUUCAGUAACUAACUACAGAUUCCAUCAACCAGGACUAGUAAAGUGAAAGGCAGAAAUUGGGAGGAGGGGUUUCUUUCUUGCUUAUAAAACUUUAUUUGGUUGUGUUGAGUAUGUGCAUGUAUGUAUGAAAUCCCAUAAAGCAGUCUUCUUAGGAACAAGCCAACAUGCCACAAUGUAGGAGAUCUUUGGAGCACUGGCCUAAAUGGCAGAGAGCUCAAGGGACUCUGCUUUGUACAAGGCAUGAUUUGUACCACCACCACUAUCCCUGUUUCAGAGCACUGUUGAAUUGUUCCAAACCUGGAUUUCUAUGUCAGCUCCCUGUCUAUAGUACUUGACUGAUAAAUGCUAGUUUCUGAAAUCUGCUUUGGUUCUAUAAUUUAUUAGACAGCUUUUUCUUCCCAUUUUAUUACUUGUUUUUACUGUCAUUGGUAUAUUAUCUCUUACAGUGAAAACAUUCAUAGGCUGAUUGAAGAGAAGAUCUGAAAUUAUUAGGCAGCAAGCAUACAAAACCCUUGCUUUAUAAAGAUAAUAUCUUAAAGGCCUAAUGUCUAUGGUUCAAAGCAGCCUGGAGAUGUUGGCUAAAUCUUCCAUCAUAGAGUCCUCAUGGGAUCUGGAAGCUCUGAUUUAUCUUCCUUCAGGCCCUAUAAGUUAGCUUUCCACAUCUGUAGGUUCCACAAUCAACCUUGGAUCAAAAACAUUUGAAA